rnacentral:rRNA from 1 species
UACGUAGGGACCAAGCGUUGUCCGGAAUCAUUGGGCGUAAAGCGCGCGUAGGUGGCCAUUUAAGUCCGCUGUGAAAGUCAGAGGCUCAACCUUUGAAAGCCGGUGGAUACUGGAUGGCUAGAGUACGGAAGAGGCGAGUGGAAUUCCUGGUGUAGCGGUGGAAUGCGCAGAUAUCAGGAGGAACACCAAUAGCGAAGGCAGCUCGCUGGGACGUUACUGACGCUGAGACGCGAAAGCGUGGGGAGCAAACAGG